rnacentral:rRNA from 1 species
AUUGAACGCUGGCGGCAGGCUUAACACAUGCAAGUCGAGCGAGCGGCGGACGCGUGAGUAAUGUCUGGGAAACUGCCUGAUGUAGGGGGUUAACUACUGGAAACUGUAGCUAAUACCGCAUCCCAUCAGAUGUGCCCAGAUGGGAUUAGCUAGUAGGUGGGGUAAUGGUUCACCUAGGCGACGAUCCCUAGCUGGUCUGAGAGGAUGACAAGACCCACUGGAACUGAGGCGCGGUCCAGAGUCCUACGGGAGGCAGACGUGGGGAACAUUGGCCAAUGGGCUAAAGCCGGAUGCAGCCAUGCCGCGUGUGUGGAGAAGGCCUGCGGGUUGUAAAGCACUUUCAGCGGGGAGGCUUUACUCGCAGAAGACGAACCGGCUAACUCCGUGCCAGCAGCCGCGGUAAUAC